GACGAACGCUGGCGGCGUGCCUAAUACAUGCAAGUCGAACGCUUUGAUUUUCACCGGAGCUUGCUCCACCGAAAAUCAAAGAGUGGCGGACGGGUGAGUAACACGUGGGCAACCUGCCCAACAGAGGGGGAUAACACUUGGAAACAGGUGCUAAUACCGCAUAAUUUGUUUUUCCGCAUGGAAGAAUAAUAAAAGACGCUUCGGUGUCACUGUUGGAUGGGCCCGCGCUGCAUUAGUUAGUUGGUGGGGUAACGGCCUACCAAGACCAUGAUGCAUAGCCGACCUGAGAGGGUGAUCGGCCACACUGGGACUGAGACACGGCCCAGACUCCUACGGGAGGCAGCAGUAGGGAAUCUACGGCAAUGGACGAAAGUCUGACCGAGCAACGCCGCGUGAGUGAAGAAGGUUUUCGGAUCGUAAAACUCUGUUGUUAGAGAAGAACAAGUGAGAGAGUUACUGUUCUCACCUUGACGGUAUCUAACCAGAAAGCCACGGCUAACUACGUGCCAGCAGCCGCGGUAAUACGUAGGUGGCAAGCGUUGUCCGGAUUUAUUGGGCGUAAAGCGAGCGCAGGCGGUUUCUUAAGUCUGAUGUGAAAGCCCUCGGCUCAACCGAGGAAGGUCAUUGGAAACUGGGGAACUUGAGUGCAGAAGAGGAGAGUGGAAUUCCAUGUGUAGCGGUGAAAUGCGUAGAUAUAUGGAGGAACACCAGUGGCGAAGGCGACUCUCUGGUCUGUAACUGACGCUGAGGCUCGAAAGCGUGGGGAGCAAACAGG
rnacentral:rRNA from 1 species